rnacentral:lncRNA from 1 species
GUUUAUAUGCAAUAUAUCUCGAACAACAAAAGGUAAUGAAUCACUUUUCAGGCUGUUUGCAUGCAAUUAAUAAAGCGUUAGUAAUACAGAGGAUGGUAGCCCCUGUGUUAACGCUGCCUGCCGGCUAAAUUCCUCUAAAUGUCUGCUCAAUUUUCCCUGAUAUCUUUGCCAGUGCUCAGAAUACAAAAUGUGUUUUGUGACAGUGGCUCUGUGUUCUCGUUAAUCCGGCAUGUUGUUCCCUCUGGUAGUGGGUGAAUGGAGCUCAGGACUGUGUUAGAGGCCCCAAAACACACAGUUUGCUUCAGCUUGAUCCAAACCCGCUCACAUCUUCUCAUUGCGGGGUUGUGUGCAGUGAAACAAAGCACAAGAAACAGAAGAAAGUUUGCAGAAACUAAAGGUGUGAAUAAUGCCAUGAGGGAAAUGAGAAAAUAGCUUUUGGCACCUUCAGACCAAGCUAUCUGGGUCCUAACAUUUCUGUAGCAUGUUGCGUGGUAGCUGCCUGCUCUCCCUGCCCUGUGAGAGAGGCCCCUGGGCUGUGGAACAGCUCGUAUUGAUGAGAUGUGGUCGAUGGCUGAGCAUUUUAGCAUUCAGUGCAGGUGUGACUGCACCUAUAUCCUCCCUGUAGAGCUCCUCAUUCACCUGUUACUGAUGUUAAUUCAUCAUUCUUUGCAGGUAAGGAAAGAAAAAAAAAAAACAUGGGGUUCAGGGGAGAAAAUCUACAGCAGAAGCCAGCGAGAAGCGCUCAAAGUGGAAUUUAAACACGAGCUUUAUCAUGCAAGCGACAGACCUCUCCUUCAAGGGUUUCAAUUUAAUACAUUUCUUGUUGAUGAGUGGCACUAAUAAUCGAGGUCAUCGGUCACCUUGAAUCCCAAAGUCUUUGGUGAGAAUGUGGUGGGGGAAGGCCUUCAGCACGUCCUUGAUCUGUGUGAGGUAAUUAAAACUUCAGUCACCUCCACAGUUCCCACUGGUAAAUUCCUAAAUUGCUGUCUUGAUUUUUAUUUUAAAAUGGUUCUGACCUUAAAGAAAAAUAUCACUGUGAAGAAUUUGUAAAGAAAUAAAAUUAAGUGCUUGUAAAACCA